AGUCUGCAACUCGACUACAUGAAGCUGGAAUCGCUAGUAAUCGCGAAUCAGAAUGUCGCGGUGAAUACGUUCCCGGGUCUUGUACACACCGCCCGUCACACCAUGGGAGUUGGGAAUGCCCGAAGCCGGUGACCUAACCGAAAGGGAGGAGCCGUCGAAGGCAGGCUUGAUAACUGGGUGAAGUCGUAACAAGGUAUC
rnacentral:rRNA from 1 species